UGGUCAGGUAGAGAAUACCAAGGCGCUUGAGAGAACUCGGGUGAAGGAACUAGGCAAAAUGGUGCCGUAACUUCGGGAGAAGGCACGCUGACACGUAGGUGAAGUGAUUUACUCAUGGAGCUGAAGUCAGUCGAAGAUACCAGCUGGCUGCAACUGUUUAUUAAAAACACAGCACUGUGCAAACACGAAAGUGGACGUAUACGGUGUGACGCCUGCCCGGUGCCGGAAGGUUAAUUGAUGGGGUCAGCGUAAGCGAAGCUCCUGAUCGAAGCCCCGGUAAACGGCGGCCGUAACUAUAACGGUCCUAAGGUAGCGAAAUUCCUUGUCGGGUAAGUUCCGACCUGCACGAAUGGCGUAAUGAUGGCCAGGCUGUCUCCACCCGAGACUCAGUGAAAUUGAACUCGCUGUGAAGAUGCAGUGUACCCGCGGCAAGACGGAAAGACCCCGUGAACCUUUACUAUAGCUUGACACUGAACAUUGAGCCUUGAUGUGUAGGAUAGGUGGGAGGCUUUGAAGUGUGGACGCCAGUCUGCAUGGAGCCGACCUUGAAAUACCACCCUUUAAUGUUUGAUGUUCUAACGUGGACCCGUAAUCCGGGUUGCGGACAGUGUCUGGUGGGUAGUUUGACUGGGGCGGUCUCCUCCUAAAGAGUAACGGAGGAGCACGAAGGUUGGCUAAUCCUGGUCGGACAUCAGGAGGUUAGUGCAAUGGCAUAAGCCAGCUUGACUGCGAGCGUGACGGCGCGAGCAGGUGCGAAAGCAGGUCAUAGUGAUCCGGUGGUUCUGAAUGGAAGGGCCAUCGCUCAACGGAUAAAAGGUACUCCGGGGAUAACAGGCUGAUACCGCCCAAGAGUUCAUAUCGACGGCGGUGUUUGGCACCUCGAUGUCGGCUCAUCACAUCCUGGGGCUGAAGUAGGUCCCAAGGGUAUGGCUGUUCGCCAUUUAAAGUGGUACGCGAGCUGGGUUUAGAACGUCGUGAGACAGUUCGGUCCCUAUCUGCCGUGGGCGCUGGAGAACUGAGGGGGGCUGCUCCUAGUACGAGAGGACCGGAGUGGACGCAUCACUGGUGUUCGGGUUGUCAUGCCAAUGGCACUGCCCGGUAGCUAAAUGCGGAAGAGAUAAGUGCUGAAAGCAUCUAAGCACGAAACUUGCCCCGAGAUGAGUUCUCCCUGAGACUUAGAGUCUCCUGAAGGAACGUUGAAGACGACGACGUUGAUAGGCCGGGUGUGUAAGCGCAGCGAUGCGUUGAGCUAACCGGUACUAAUGAACCGUGAGGCUUAACCUU
rnacentral:rRNA from 1 species